AGUUUUGGUUAAGCUUAGUAUAAUUAAAUAACCAUGAUUUUAAUGUUCUUGAAUGUAUGCCCAUUAUUAUAAUAUGAUUUUUGAACCAUGGUCUAGGCCUUGAAGUCUCCUAGGGAUUUUCUGUUUCUUUAUAUGAGAAAAACUAAGUUGAUCUAUCCCAUUAAGAGCAACUCUAAUUUCUCCAUUUCAGAAAAGAGGAAUUGUAAUUUCCUAAAUCACUAGGAAGACUUGUGCUAUUCCUAAGCCUGACAAUACCCAUUUUUAAUUUAAAGAUGAGUGCAUUAAUUCAUUUCUCUUGAAUUGCAGGGUAUAAACUUUACUUCUGUCAAAGAGCUACAAGAAUGGAUACUUUCGCUGAAGUAUGAAAAAGUUGGUCAAGGUUCAGGCCCCAACGACACCAAUGUAACUGCCACUGCUGCUGCUGGACCCUCGUUUGUUGCAACUCAUGAUCACUCGCCAAAUAAUGCUGCUGGAUUUUCGACUCCCUCUGAUGCUGGCCCCUUCUCAGCUGCAUAUCACUUUGAUUUUGAUAAUGACUAUCUUUUCACCGAUUAUGAUGACCUUGUUGGUAGAUUGCUGUUUUGAGAAAAUCCCAUCUUCAAGGCGGUCUAGUGAUGGUGCCUAUAAGCUCCUCACCUCCUCAAGCAGAUAUGCCCCACUCUUCUAUAUGAAGCUCUAUAUCUUAUCGAUCAAUGGUUUGAAUGACUGUUUGUAUUAUCAUUUCCAGUUCUAAUAGCACGCUUGGUGAAGAAGCAUUCUAGCAAAAGCAGGGUUCUGAGAUGUGCCGAGAGUGUCUUCAUGACCAAGAAUGUUUUAACGGCAAGCCUCUUAGUAUUGGUCCGUUCCUUUCAGUCUCUCUUAUGGGAUUGGAUCUCACUUGCAGAAUGGAGAGGGCAGCCUAUCUUAUGAAUUUAUUUGUUUGGCCAAGAGUGUAUGCUAUGUUCAGUACUUUCAAUAAUAAAUAAAACAUAAUGCAUUGGAUCAAAGGAAGGAGGAAUUUA